GACGAACGCUGGCGGCGUGCUUAACACAUGCAAGUCGAACGGACAGACAGAGAGCUUGCUCUCUUGAAGUUAGUGGCGAACGGGUGAGUAACGCGUAAUCAACCUGCCCUUCAGAGGGGGAUAACAACGGGAAACCGUUGCUAUACCGCGUACGAAUCAGGAACGGCAUCGUUAAUGAAAGAAAGGUGGCCUCUAUGGCUAAGCCAUCGCUGAAGGAGGGGAUGGCGUGUGAUUCGCUAGUUGGAGGGGUAACGGCCGACCAAGGCAAUGAUCAGUGUGCGGUCUGAGAGGAUGGACGGCCACAUUGGGACUGAGACACGGCCCAAACUCCUAGGGGAGGCAGCAGUGGGGAAUCUUCCGCAAUGGACGAAAGUCUGACGGAGCAACGCCGCGUGAGUGAUGAAGGUCUUCGGAUUGUAAAGCUCUGUUAAUCGGGACGAAAGAGUUCUGCGUGAAUAAUGCAGAAAAGUGACGGUACCGAAAUAGAAAGCCACGGCUAACUACGUGCCAGCCGCCGCCGUAA
rnacentral:rRNA from 1 species